AUUUAUUUUGCAUAGUCUCCCAUGGCAUUUGAUGUUGGAUCCUCACACAUUCCUGUGCCGGAUGUACAGACUUUAGAGCCACAGGAUGCGGGUGUGAUACAAGAGGAGGUUCACCAACGUAGAUCAAAACGACAGCGCCGGCAAACUCGGUGUGGCACGGGGGGG